AAAAGCUUUCUUUAAUUGAAUAAUUGAAUUUAAUUUUUUAGUGCAAAAGCAAAAAUAAAAAUUAGGGACAAGAAGACCCUAUGAAUUUUUUAUUAAAUUUUAUAAAACUUUAUAUAAAAUUUAAUUUAAUUGGGGUGAUGGAAAAAGAAUAAAUAUCUUUUUUUUAAAAAAAAAUUGGUUCCGUUUUUAGCGAUUAAAUGAAAAAAAUACUCUAGGGAUAACAGCGUAAUAAUUUUGGAUAGUUCAUAUAGAUAAAAUAGUUUGCGACCUCGAUGUUGGAUUAGGAUUCUUUUUUGGNGAANAAGUUAAAAAAA
rnacentral:rRNA from 1 species